rnacentral:rRNA from 1 species
GCCAGCAGCCAUAUCACUCUGCAACUCACAACUGGCAACCCACUGAAGCUAAAUAGGUGUGAGCCUGGUCAGUACCUGGAUGGGAGACCUCCUGGGAAAAACUAAGGUUGCUGCUGGAA